rnacentral:rRNA from 1 species
UACAGAGGGUGCGAGCGUUAAUCGGAAUUACUGGGCGUAAAGCGCGCGUAGGCGGCUUUGCAAGCCGGAUGUGAAAUCCCCGGGCUUAACCUGGGAACUGCAUUCGAGACUGCAUUGCUAGAGUAUGGGAGAGGGAAGUGGAAUUUCCGGUGUAGCGGUGAAAUGCGUAGAUAUCGGAAGGAACAUCAGUGGCGAAAGCGACUUCCUGGACCAAUACUGACGCUCAUGUGCGAAAGCGUGGGGAGCAAACAGG